rnacentral:rRNA from 1 species
GAUGAACGCUAGCUACAGGCUUAACACAUGCAAGUCGAGGGGUAACGAGAGGAAAGCUUGCUUUCCUUGUCGACGACCGGCGCACGGGUGAGUAACGCGUAUCCAACCUGCACCCAACUAGGGAAUAACCUUGCGAAAGUAAGACUAAUACCCUAUACUUUCCUCAGAUGACAUCUGACGAGGAAUAAAGAUUUAUCGGUUGUGGAUGGGGAUGCGUCUGAUUAGCUUGUUGGCGGGGUAACGGCCCACGAAGGCAACGAUCAGUAGGGGUUCUGGGAGGAAGGUCCCCCACAUUGGAACUGAGACACGGUCCAAACUCCUACGGGAGGCAGCAGUGAGGAAUAUUGGUCAAUGGGCGGAAGCCUGAACCAGCCAAGUAGCGUGCAGGAUGACGGCCCUAUGGGUUGUAAACUGCUUUUAUACAGGAAUAAAGUUAGCCACGUGUGGUUAUUUGUAGGUACUGUAUGAAUAAGGACCGGCUAAUUCCGUGCCAGCCGCCGCCGUAA